CAAAACAUGUUUUGGAGCAAAAAUGACAGAAACUCACAAAGAUAAUGUCAUAAUCUCACUACUGAUAUAUUAUAUGAGUUCCUUCAUGAGCUAGGCACGUUUACCAAUUUUUCUUAUCAAGGACAUUUUUUAGUUCCUGACUGGCAAAAGGUUUCUUCGUACUUUGGCUUUCAAAGAAAAUCACGAAAAAAAAAGCAGUGAUAUUAGUUCACACGACCAAGAAGGCCACGCUACAAGUAUCCUGCCUUCAUCAAACCUAUCUUUCACUGCCCUUAGUGCUUCGUGUGCCCAAUAGCAGAUAGCACUGCCUUGUUGGCACCACAUAUUAUUUAAAUCCGACUUAUCUAGUUUCGUAGAUGGAAAAUCCUGGAAAGCAACAUGUUUUCGCAGGGUCAAAAACACGGUCCAAUGGUAGCUCCCGCCCAGAAUUCGCACAAUACGGUUACCUUAAUCACGUAAUGUGGUUCUUAGUAAAUAGCAUGAGCGUCAUUGUGUGCUUAUUUAUGGCAGUUUUGUGUAUGCAUCAAGGCGAUUACGUACGAAUACAUUUAACCUGAGACGACGAUUUUUAUUACGAAUGUGGAUGGAUCGCGUUAAAACUGUUCUUCGACUUAUGUAUUAAACGUAUAACAUUUUGCAUGAUUUGCAAGCUUUAACUCUUGGGUUAACUGACUUUUUUUUACAGGAACGGACACCACGAUUUUCGUACAUAUGAGCUAGUAGAGUACGACAGACUUAUAUGUUAUCCUCUGCAAGAAAUUGUAGGUGUCAGGAUUUUCUGAAUUGCUGCCUUCAUGACUUUUCUGUGCGGAUUCUCCAUAAGGCAUGAAGUAACGGAUGCAGGAAACAGUCAAGAAGCUAAACGAGGAUAAAAACUAACGCGGAUCAUUGCGGUACUUUAGUAGCGGUAGCAGAACAGAGAAGCACCACUAGAGCACACGCAUUUCUCAAAUCAUUGAGUUCGAGGAAGCAUACAUAGAAAUGAUAAUUUUCUACGUUUAUUUGUGCUGGGAAGGCUGAUUGGCCCUGAGCAAGAUGUCGAUGGUUGCUAGUGCCGUAUGACAUAGUAUAACGAUGGUAUACUCCAUACACCUGGCUACAUUUGCCGAACAGGGAGAGCCACAAAUUCUUUAUUCACGGGCUUUUUGCCAAAGUUUGCCCCUGCCUCAGUCACCGCUGGAUAAGCUAUGCACGUUUAGCCUUCAAGGAGUUGACACCCUCAAUGACGAGCAAGAUAAGGAGCAGCAACUGCUUCGUAUUUCCGAAGGCAACGACGUUUUGGAUUAUUUGCUACGAGAGGGAAAAGCAGAAUUUCAUGCAGCGCUUGCGCGAAGCUCAGAAAAGGAAGCCAAAAUGCGUGACUUCCUCAAUGGGACCUUCCGGCUGAUGGGAUCGGAUCUGGCUGUCCACUGGAUAGCUACUCUUCGUGGUACUGUCCUCAUGACGAUUGCAGCAUCUUCAGAUCCUCCAUCGGUGAUUCGAACCAAUCUUCGUCUCUUAAUGACAUCGCUAUCUAACCGAAUUCGGUUGGACCAAACGCGUGAAGUGUUCCUGAAAUCGCACGUAAUUGCGCUCACCAUCAAGUAUUAUUUACCUUGUGGGCAACUGUUACUCCAGCCAGCUGUCAUUCAGAAACAGGUUGACGAAACCAUCGGAAAAUUGCUUAAAUAAUUGAGUGCGUGACUGCGCUAUGGCUUUUCUCCAAGACUGUAACCUUCAUACGAACAAUAUAAGCCUUUGCGUCUAUACCGUGGCAUCGCUUGGCAACUGAUGCCAGUGGAUACGAGGAGUCAAUAUAGAGGUGGCUGGCGUCAGGGAAGUCCAUCCUGGGAAGCCUGCCGAAACUGGAGUAUGCUAGACGCAUCCAAAAGUCGAUAUGUACUGAAUGCGCUCGAAGCCAUACUUGAAGCAUAAGGCGCAUGAGUACACGUAAUAUUUCGUUGUAGUAAUUAUUAAAUAGAAUCCAAUUUGCUUUUCGAUUCCCGUUAUGUCAAAUGGCCUACUAGCAGUGGUGUGUAUUUGUCGCCUCGAUAGUACUUUUAAGUAGAACGUUGCAAAAGUUAUUGAACUUCCAAGGGUUACCUGCAACUUUAUAACUACAGAAGACUUUUUAAUUUCAGUCUGAAACGGAAAUAGGAUUAUUAGUUCUUCAAGGUUGUACUUUUUUGCUUCUAUACUUGGUACAUUACUGUAUUUUGAAUUCGAAAAUCGAAAAGUAAAAAAGCUUGAUUGCAAAAUAAUAAAAUAGUAACUUUAUCGGAUAGAAGUAUCUAGAAUACAAAACAUAUGUAGUAAAUGCAGAGGCGGGACUUACCUAUUAUUAGAAAAUAUUGCCAGUAUGUAAAUACAAAGCGUUUCACAGUGUUCUACAAAUUUUUGUGCACUUAAACCCUCUAUGAUACAUAGAAUCAUACAGUUGUUUGUUGAGGAGAUUCACAAUACCACAGAAAGGUAGAAGUUACGUCAACAAUGAUAACUGGCGCAGUCGAGGCUCAGCAAAUCCAAAGUGACUAGAAAAAGCCUGCUUCGUCCAAAACAAGUCAACGUGCCACUAUUGGAGAGCAAGUUGUGAUACUUGAGACAUUUGAUACAUGAAAGGAAAUCAUUUAACUAGGAUUAUGUCGUUCCAAGCAAAUAAAGCUAGGUUUCAAUUAAUUUAUUUAACUUUUUUUUUUAAAUAGUUUGCACUUCUUUCCAAUACAGAUUUAUUCAUAAUUUGGAAUCGGUGGAAUAACACCUCAUAUUUAGGUUUUGAAGCCAGAGGAACCGUAUAGUAUUCUAAAUAAAUGAUCUUGGAAUAACUUGAAAAAUAAAUGCAAUUAAAAAACCUUACAAAAUGUAAUAACCUGUACUUCGAAAAAGUGAUUCUUUUGAAGAACGGACGACAAUUUUGCGAGUUAUUAGAAUCGGUGUGUUUGUUA